rnacentral:rRNA from 1 species
GAUGAACGCUGGCGGCGUGCCUAGUACAUGCAAGUAGAACGCUGAAGGAGGAGCUUGCUCUUCUGGAUGAGUUGCGAACGGGUGAGUAACGCGUAGGUAACCUGCCUGGUAGCGGGGGAUAACUAUUGGAAACGAUAGCUAAUACCGCAUGACAACAGUUAUUGCAUGAUAACUGUUUAAAAGGGGCAACUGCUCCACUACCAGAUGGACCUGCGUUGUAUUAGCUAGUUGGUGAGGUAACGGCUCACCAAGGCGACGAUACAUAGCCGACCUGAGAGGGUGAUCGGCCACACUGGGACUGAGACACGGCCCAGACUCCUACGGGAGGCAGCAGUAGGGAAUCUUCGGCAAUGGACGGAAGUCUGACCGAGCAACGCCGCGUGAGUGAAGAAGGUUUUCGGAUCGUAAAGCUCUGUUGUAAGAGAAGAACGAGUGUGAGAGUGGAAAGUUCACACUGUGACGGUAUCUUACCAGAAAGGGACGGCUAACUACGUG